ACGCUGGCGGCAGGCCUAACACAUGCAAGUCGAGCGGUAGAGAGAAGCUUGCUUCUCUUGAGAGCGGCGGACGGGUGAGUAAUGCCUAGGAAUCUGCCUGGUAGUGGGGGAUAACGUUCGGAAACGGACGCUAAUACCGCAUACGUCCUACGGGAGAAAGCAGGGGACCUUCGGGCCUUGCGCUAUCAGAUGAGCCUAGGUCGGAUUAGCUAGUUGGUGAGGUAAUGGCUCACCAAGGCGACGAUCCGUAACUGGUCUGAGAGGAUGAUCAGUCACACUGGAACUGAGACACGGCCCAGACUCCUACGGGAGGCAGCAGUGGGGAAUAUUGCACAAUGGGCGCAAGCCUGAUGCAGCCAUGCCGCGUGUGUGAAGAAGGCCUUAGGGUUGUAAAGCACUUUCAGCGAGGAGGAAGGCGCUGUAGUUAAUAGCUGCAGCGAUUGACGUUACUCGCAGAAGAAGCACCGGCUAACUCCGUGCCAGCAGCCGCGGUAAUACGGAGGGUGCAAGCGUUAAUCGGAAUUACUGGGCGUAGAGCGCACGCAGGCGGUUUGUUAAGUCAGAUGUGAAAUCCCCGAGCUUAACUUGGGAACUGCAUUUGAAACUGGCAAGCUAGAGUCUUGUAGAGGGGGGUAGAAUUCCAGGUGUAGCGGUGAAAUGCGUAGAGAUCUGGAGGAAUACCGGUGGCGAAGGCGGCCCCCUGGACAAAGACUGGCGCUCAGGUGCGAAAGCGUGGGGAGCAAAC
rnacentral:rRNA from 1 species